rnacentral:rRNA from 1 species
UACGUAGGGACCAAGCGUUGUUCGGAUUUACUGGGCGUAAAGGGCGCGUAGGCGGCCUGACAAGUCACUUGUGAAAUCUCCGGGCUUAACUCGGAACGGUCAAGUGAUACUGUCGCGCUAGAGUGCGGAAGGGGCAAUCAGAAUUCUUGGUGUAGCGGUGAAAUGCGUAGAUAUCAAGAGGAAUACCUGAGGUGAAGACGGGUUGCUAGGCCGACACUGACGCUGAAGCGCGAAAGCCAGGGGAGCAAACGGG